GUUGUAUAGUCAAGUAAUUAAGUGCAUGUGGUGGAUGCCUUGGCAGUCAGAGGCGAUGAAAGACGUGAUAGCCUGCGAAAAGCUCCGGGGAGGCGGCAAAUAUCCUUUGAUCCGGAGAUGUCUGAAUGGGGGAACCCACCUACUUUAAGGUAGGUAUUGCAACAUGAAUACAUAGUGUUGCAAGGCGAACGAGGGGAAGUGAAACAUCUCAGUACCCUUAGGAAAAGAAAUCAAUUGAGAUUCCCUCAGUAGCGGCGAGCGAACGGGGAUCAGC
rnacentral:rRNA from 1 species